rnacentral:pre_miRNA from 1 species
UAUAUACUCCCUCCGUCCGAAAAUAGUUGUCAUCAAAAUGGAUAAAAGGGAUGUAUCUAGAUGUAUUUUAGUUUUAGAUACAUCCCUUUUUUUCCAUUUUGAUGACAAGUAUUUUUGGACGGAGGGAGUAUAAU